CCCAUUCGGAACUCCGUUUUUAAAGUGGGGGUGCCCCCCUCCAUUUGUCAUCUCCCUCCAGGCUGGAGUUUGAAAGGAGUCAGCCAUGAGCUGGAGAGAGAUGAAGGCGGGGGAAAAGGGAGCAGCUGAUCUUCCUGCCACGCCGUUAAGAUGGGUAAACAACCCCACCCGGUGGCUAGUUUAGUCACAUCCAUGUGGGUCUCCAGCUCAACGCGCAGGAGCAGUGAUCGUGAAAAGCAGCUAGAUACACCUGAAGGGCACACGGAACAGAAAUCAAUCGGGCCUCCCUUAUUGGUAGCGGCCAAUAAGAAGCUCUGGCAGGUCAGAGAAGGACGUGGGUGGCCGGUCGUAGGGCAGCAGGAGAGCCAUGGAGUAGCGUGGCGGCAGGCGCAAACACAAGAAUUGGCUGUGCGGGAGGACACCGCCAAAGGUAGCACAAGCCACGGAGCGGUAACUGGUGGCAGGGAGCGGCCGCAGUAGAAGGAGAGCGGGCCUUCGGUCAGUGGAUGGCAGCGAGACGUCAGUGAACGCUUAAGGCACGAACAACGCCACCAACUGGUGGAAUCGGUGGAUUCUUCACAGCCAGGAAGUGUGGCGUAGCCUGAUCGGGAACUUUGGGGACUUAGCUCAUGGACUGAGCAUCAUCAUAUUUUUAGUGUGCCGAGGUUGAUGGGUUUUUUCUCUCCCCUGAUCAGGGCAUUUUUAGUGUUGUAAAUAAAGUUCAUUUAUUUUUAUUGACUAUUUUAACUGGGUAU